rnacentral:rRNA from 1 species
UGGGGAAUAUUGCACAAUGGGCGCAAGCCUGAUGCAGCCAUGCCGCGUGUAUGAAGAAGGCCUUCGGGUUGUAAAGUACUUUCAGCGGGGAGGAAGGGAGUAAAGUUAAUACCUUUGCUCAUUGACGUUACCCGCAGAAGAAGCACCGGCUAACUCCGUGCCAGCAGCCGCGGUAAUACGGGGGGUGCAAGCGUUAAUCGGAAUUACUGGGCGUAAAGCGCACGCAGGCGGUUUGUUAAGUCAGAUGUGAAAUCCCCGGGCUCAACCUGGGAACUGCAUCUGAUACUGGCAAGCUUGAGUCUCGUAGAGGGGGGUAGAAUUCCAGGUGUAGCGGUGAAAUGCGUAGAGAUCUGGGGGAAUACCGGUGGCGAAGGCGGCCCCCUGGACGAAGACUGACGCUCAGGUGCGAAAGCGUGGGGAGCAAACAGG